rnacentral:ncRNA from 16 species
CCCCGUUGUGGAGAUGGCAUGCCUCCCUUAACCGCCGGUUAGCGCGUAACGAUACCGGCUGAUGAUGCCUACAAGUUC